GCCGGGGUAGCUCAUCGGUAGAGCGCAGCCCUGAAAAGGCUGGCGUAGGCGGUCCGACUCCGCCCCUCGGCACCA
rnacentral:tRNA from 2 species